rnacentral:rRNA from 1 species
CCUACGGGAGGCAGCAGUGGGGAAUAUUGCACAAUGGGCGAAAGCCUGAUGCAGCGAUGCCGCGUGCGGGAAGAAGGCCUUAGGGUUGUAAACCGCUUUCAGUAGGGAAGAAAAUGACGGUACCUACAGAAGAAGGUGCGGCCAACUACGUGCCAGCAGCCGCGGUGACACGUAGGCACCAAGCGUUGUCCGGAUUUAUUGGGCGUAAAGAGCUCGUAGGCGGUUUGGUAAGUCGGGUGUGAAAACUCUGGGCUCAACCCAGAGAGGCCACUCGAUACUGCUAUGACUUGAGUACGGUAGGGGAGUGGGGAAUUUCUAGUGUAGCGGUGAAAUGCGCAGAUAUUAGAAGGAACACCAGUGGCGAAGGCGCCACUCUGGGCCGUAACUGACGCUGAGGAGCGAAAGCAUGGGUAGCAAACAGGAUUAGAUACCCUGGUAGUCCAUGCCGUAAACGUUGGGCACUAGGUGUGGGUCUCAACCAACGAGAUCCGCGCCGUCGCUAACGCAUUAAGUGUCCCGCCUGGGGAUACGGUCGCAAGACUAAAAACUCAAAAGAUAUAGCGNGAGAGAGCGACGACGACGACGACGGAGGAGG